AUGGAGGAACAAGAGGUAUCAGAUGCCAUGCUUUCCACAGAGUGCACUCAAAAUGUUGUGGGGGAGUUUGCAGCGAUGAGAAAUACUUGGAACAGUAACUCCAUUGUAGCAACUGACAAGAGCACCCUUACAAAUUGGUAUGCUUCUGCAAUUAUUGGACCAGGAGGUGUCAAAUGCCAUAUGACUUCCAAGCUUCUGGAGAAAACACUGAAAAUCUUGUGUUUGGAGUUAGCAAUGAGAGGAAAUAGUUGGAAGAAUAACACCAUUGUAGCAACUGACAAGAGCACCAUUGGAGUUUAUACAAAGUGGCAUCCUUCUGCUAUUUCUAGUUACUUGUGGUGGCUGAGAGAACUCUGCAGUCUGCUUCGCAAACUUGGGGUCAUGUUAUAG
rnacentral:rRNA from 1 species